rnacentral:rRNA from 1 species
AGUGAACGCUGGCGGUAUGCCUAACACAUGCAAGUCGAACGGCAGCACAGUAAGAGCUUGCUCUUACGGGUGGCGAGUGGCGGACGGGUGAGGAAUACAUCGGACUCUACUUUUUCGUGGAGGAUAACGUAGGGAAACUUACGCUACUACCGCAUACGACCUACGGGUGAAAGCAGUGGAUCUUCGCACCUUGCGCGAUUGAAUGAGCCGCUGUCGGAUUUGCUAGUUGGCGGGGUAAAGGCCCACCAAGGCGACGAUCCGUAGCUGGUCUGAGAGGAUGAUCAGCCACACUGGAACUGAGACACGGUCCAGACUCCUACGGGAGGCAGCAGUGGGGAAUAUUAGACAAUGGGCGCAAGCCUGAUCCAGCCAUACCGCGUGGGUGAAGAAGGCCUUCGGGUUGUAAAGCCCUUUUGUGGGGAAAGAAAAGCAGCAGGUUAAUACCCCGCUGUUCUGACGGUACCCAAAGAAUAAGCACCGGCUAACUUCGUG